rnacentral:rRNA from 1 species
GCCUAAAGAUUAAGCCAUGCAUGUCUAAGUAUAAACGAUUUAAUCGUGAAACCGCGAAUGGCUCAUUAUAACAGCUAUAAUUUACUUGAUCUUGACACAAUCCUACUUGGAUAACUGUGGUAAUUCUAGAGCUAAUACAUGCAUUAAAGCUCUGACCUCACGGGAAGAGUGCAUUUAUUAGAACAAAACCAAGCGGCUUCGGCUGUUUCUGGUUGACUCAUAGUAACUGAGCUGAUCGCAUGGUCUUGCACCGGCGACGUGUCUUUCAAGUAUCUGCCGUAUCAACUUUCGAUGGUAGUGUAUCUGACUACCAUGGUGAUCACGCGUAACGGAGAAUAAGGGUUCGGCUCCGGAGAGUUCGCCUGAGAAAUCGCGAACACAUCUAAGGAAGGCAGCAGGCGCGAAAAUUACCCACUCUCAGCACGAGGAGGUAGUGACGAAAAAUAACGAGACCGUUCUCUUAUGAGGCCGGUCAUCGGAAUGGGUACAAUUUAG